GAAGCACGAACUUGGAACAGACAGAUUCAUGGUUGAGCUGUGGAGCAAGAGGAGAGACCAUCAUCGAAGUCGCCAUAUUUGAUCCGAUGAAGAAGAAGAUGAUUGGAAGUUUGGAACGAAGGAUGUGUUUAGUUUGGGGAUGUUUGAGGUGAAACUAGGGAUUGCUUGUCGUUUUUGCUGUCGUCAGAUGAAGAUGAUGCAAGUAAGCACAGUCAAAUCUCUACCAAACCAGAAUCGGUUUGGUCUUGGUACCGGUACAGAUCAAUCAGUGUCUUUAACCGGCUCCGUCUCGAUAAAUUUCUGCCCGGUUUCAUAUCUAUUUUUAUUAAUCAGGGGUUUUGCUUAAGAAAUUACUUUUCUUAUAUGAUAUUAAUAACUUUGACCAAAAAAAAAAUGAUAUUAAUAACAAUUAAGAUUUGAUUCCUUAAAUAUCUAGACGAUCUGGUUACCUAAUUAACAACCUAGUUUCUUUUAUUAUACAUAGUAUAUUAAAUAAUAUAUUAUUAGAUAAAUUAUUUAAUUAAACAAAAAUUAUUUUUUUGUUUGCUUUAUUAUUAGUUGGAAUUUAUUUUUCUCAAAUGUCUUUUCUAUAUCUCUAGGUGGAUAUUUGCUUUUUCUAACAAUUUAACUUUAUUAAUAACUAGAUACGGAUCCGCGCUGUGCACGGAUAUUGUUAUAUCUACUUUUUACAGAAAAAAUAGUGGUAAUAUAUAUUUAUAUAAUAUUUUUAUGUUAUUUAUUUGUAAAUAAUACAUUUUUAAAGAUAUAUUGAAUUGUGGUGUUGUUACAAAAUAUUUUGUACAUGGUGUUUUUUUUGUGUGCAUAAAUUUUAAAUGUUGUACAUGGUGUUUUUUUCUUAUAAUGUUAGAAUUUUCGUUUGUAAUUUAAUAUUUUGAUAUAAAAAUGUGAUUGUCAAUUUAUGUUCUUUAAAAUAUUUUUAUAUGUUAUUUAAAAUAUAUUAUUAACAUAUUUGGCGCAAAUAUUUUUUGGAUUUACUUUUAAGAAUAUAAGUUUGGACAAAAAAUUAUGAUAUAGUUUAAUAUGUUUUUAAAAUAUAUGGACAAUUUAAAUUAACUGAGAUUAUAUUAUAUAAUUUUAAUAUAUGUUUUAUGGGUAUUAUUUUUUUCUUAUAUAUAUAUAUCUUUUUAUAAUUUAACAUGUGAAUAUAAUAGGGAGGUCGAAAAAUAAGGGAGAAAAUCUUGUUUGGCAAAAAAAUCAACUUUCAAAUAAGAGAAUGUCGUAAAAAAAUAAAUUGUAGUUAUUGAUUAUUUGGUGUGCAAGUCAAGUUAGUCUAGAUUUCAUCAAAUCUUUCUUAAUAAUAUAUUUCUCAGAAAUUUUCAUGUUUACUGUUUUGUUGAUACUAUUAUUGAUGUUUAUCACCAUUAAAGAGACAUUUUCAAAAAUAUAUUCUUCAUAAAAAAUAAAAAGACUCUUACACCCUUGAAAAUCGAAAUUUUUUUUUGAAAUUAUUUUUAAAAAAUUUAUAUAAUUUUAAGUUUGUAUUUAUAUAUUUAUUGGAAUCAUAAAUUUCACAUUCCAGAAACCAUACCACACCUUUCAAUUUUAAAACAUAAGUCUAGAUUAGUUAAUCCUAUGGUUAUAAAUGUUUUUUUCUCUCUUUAAAAAUGAGAGUAAAAGUGAUUACUGUAAACAUGAAAAAUAGUAUUAUGAAUGUGAUAUUUUUGACAAUUUCUCUAUCUUUCUAAUUUUCUUGUAGAUAAGGAUUGUUUAUGAAAUUAGUAAAUAAAAAAUAAUGUAAUUUCUAACUUCUACUGUAUUUCAAAAAAACAAUUUUGCAUAAGUUAUAUUUUAUAUGAUUGAAGUUUAUAUAUGAUUGAAGUUUAUAUAAUAACAUAUUAUGUUCAUAAUGGUAGGUAUCUCUAAGUUUAACAAAGAAUCAAUCAACUUAGAGCAUAUUAACAUAUGUCACGAAAAUGAGGUGUAAAAAGAGUUAUUAUAUCUAAUCUUUCUAUUAACAUAAGAAACCAAACAUAUACAUGUUCUUUGUGUGAUGAUAUGAUGUCGAUGAGAAAAUCAUAAAGCAAGUUUCAUCUUUAGAAAAAGUUAGUCCAAGUGAGAGUUAUUGUAUUGCUAAUAUAAUUGUAUAUACAAUCGGUCCACUUUAAUUUUAAUUAGAAGAUAAUUCGUUUGGUUUACUUAUAAUAGGUUAAGAUUGUUGGUUUAAUUUAAGUUGUCUGGUUUUAAUGUAACUAACUUGAUAUGAUCCAUAAAUUAACAUACUAACAAAUUUGAAAUAGUCCAAAAUUUAAAUGACAACUUUAAUGAUAGAUAAAUUUAGGACUCUAUUUUAAUAGAGUAGAUUUUGUAAGGAUCUUUUACAAAUACAUACACAAUGAAAACAUAACAAAUAACAUAGGUUAUAUAAUAAAAAAACAAAAGAACUAAAAAAGAGUAAGAUAUUUGAGAAGUUUUGCGAUCUUUACAUCUUUGUCGCAUUAGAAACAUCAAUUAAUUAUCUUUGUUGUGUUAUAUUGGUCUUAAUCCAAUUUAGAUCUAUAUAUAUUUUUCGGUUUAGAAUCCAAUAUAUUGAUUCAACCGUAAGAAAAAAAAUUGAAAAGACCAAUUUUCAACGAUUGUAUGUAUAUUGCCAUACAACAAAAAGAUUCUUCCUUCAGUCUUUAGAUCCUCUUUUGUAUCUCGAAUCCAUGGCGGUUUUCUUGGAGGACAUUUUCUCCAUAACAAAUGACUUGAUUCGAAAAUCAACACAAUUUGGUUAAUUGUUUUUUCAUCAAUCAUAGCUGUAAAAUCCAUGUCGGAAACUGCAACGUCGUAUUGAAAGAAAGAGAGAUUAACCUUCAAUCCGCUGUAGAUGAAUUUCUUCUCAAGUAAAGGGAAGAAUAAGAGAUUAACCUUCGAUCACUUAGGCCUAAUAAACAACAAUCAUUAAUACAAAUAAAACUCAAUUCAAUAAGAAUUUGUGAUAAAUAUAAGCAAUUAGUGCCAUAUAUCUCAGAUUCCUGACUACACUAUAAUAGUAACAAUGAAAUUGUCUAGACAAAACAAAACCAAAGAAUGGCAAUGCAAGAAGAAACUUUCGUAAUUGAUCCAAACAGAAACAAACAGUUGGUUUACAAGUAGUAGCAAUUCUAAACAAGAUCACUAUUACAUUAACCUAUUUAACUAUCAUAUAUAUAACACUAGGAUCGGCCAGCGGAAGUUAUUAUAAAAUAUUUUACAUGAAUUUAUAUUAACUUAUGAAACAUUUAAAAUUAUUAUGUAUUGAAAAUAAUAUUAUAAACAAAAAAAUAAUGGAAAUAAUUCUGAGAUCAUAUUGUUAUUGUUAAUAAAUAUUUUUGAUUUGAAUUAAAAUGACAACAACUUUCAUUAUUCUCUAUCGUUAAAUAAUACAAUAUUAACAAAAAUAAUUAAGAAAAUGUAAUAAUAGAAAUAUUCUUAUUAUUUCUAUUUCAAUUUGACAUAGUAAAAAUAUAAAGUUUAUACAAAUAAUACUAUAUUUAUUUUAAGAAGCUUCAAAUUUUUAAAAACAUUAACAUAAUUUUUUUUUGCUUCAAGAUUUGGUAGUGCGACCCAUAUACCUCCCUCGGUGCUUAGCCGUGGCAUCGGAUGGCAAGGCGUAGGCGUUUUGCUGAAUGGAUUGUUUGGAACUGCAACCGGUUCAACAGCUUUGGUGUAAUGAAAUCAAAUCUCUUUAAUAUAGAACGUUCUCAGGUGCCGGAUCUUAAACUUUGUUGUUUUUUGUUUGUUCUUGUAGUGAAAAUACAGGGCUGCUUGGACUAACAAAGGUUGGGAGCAGAAGAGUGGUUCAGAUAUCUGCUGGUUUCAUGAUCUUCUUCUCCAUUUUUGGUAAUACUCCAAUCAUGUGAAAUUACUUGGAAACAAUUUUAAUUGCUAGGCAGUAAUUAUAUACUUUUUAUAGGAGAUUAAUGAUUAGGCGGAUGCGAUUUCAGAAAAAAAAAUCGGUUAAGAAAAAUCGGUUAAGAAAAAUCGUUUUCUUUAGAUACGAUUCGCACCCUACACCGAUUUUUAGAACAUUACUCUUAACCAUUACUAACCUUGUGAAAAAAAUACAGGCAAGUUUGGGGCUGUUCUUGCGUCGAUACCAUUACCGAUAUUUGCAGCAUUGUACUGUGUUCUAUUCGCCUAUGUUGGUAUGUAUAUCUCAAGAACUAGACUCUUUCUACUCAUUUUAGCUUUUUCUAUAAAUGUGAUUGAGAUCAGGCAGAGGACCUUGUGAACAGCUUCUGCAGGACUUGGCCUGCUUCAGUUCUGCAACUUAAACAGCUUCAGGACUAAAUUCAUCCUCGGCUUCUCCAUCUUCAUCGGUCUAUCUGUCGCACAAUACUUCACAGAGUAUCUAUUUAUCUCUGGUCGUGGACCCGUUCACACUCGCACUUCUGCUGUAAGUGUAUUACAUCAUCACUUUAUGUUUGUUUGUCUUGUGUGUACUGAUUCGUUUGUCAUGGACGCAGUUCAAUGUGAUAAUGCAAGUGAUAUUCUCUUCGGCUGCAACCGUUGGGAUAAUGGCAGCCUUCUUGUUGGACUGUACUCAUAGCUACGGACACCCCUCGGUGAGGAGAGACAGUGGAAGACAUUGGUGGGAGAAGUUCAGAGUCUACUACACUGACACUCGAACUGGAGAGUUCUACGCAUUGCCUUAUAACCUCAAUCGAUUCUUCCCUUCUUUCUAAAAAUCUGAGACUCAGUUUCUUCAGCAUCUAGAGAUAUAUAUAUGUACCACAAAAGCAAGAUUCCAACUAGAAAAUUAUGUUUCUAAAUAAUCUUGUUUUUCUUGUUACCAACACUUUCGCAUGAGUUUGCUUAGAGAUUGUAACAGCUACAUAUUCCAGAGUGACUAGGCAAAUUGAGAUUCAAACUCUUUUCUUUUCUGGUGAGUAAACUGAUCAUCUUAGUCCGGCUGGAGAUGUUGGACUGCCUCCUCCAGGUCUUCCCAUGGCUCUCUGGGCCAGAGAUCCAUCGUAAUCCUAAACAAACGUAUUUUUCGAUUUUAACAUGAAAGCCAACAUAAAGACAACUUGGUUUAGGUUGAUACAAAGUAUAAUUUGAAACAUACUCGCUUCUCGAAGGAACUAUCCUGCGAGUCAGCUAUCUUGUCUGCGAUACCAUAGUCAAUGGCUGCUUGUGCUUGGAGAUAUUUAGGUCGCUUGAUGUCCUCGUUGAUCUGCUCUUUGGUUUUACCUGUUCCCUUAGCUAACAGCUCAAUGUAAUACUCAGUAUUUGCAUCGAGCUCCUUGGCCUGUCAGAGGAGGAAUAUUCAUUAACAGUACAAGUGAAGAAAAUUUCAAGGGAUUACAUAAGAGAGUACAAGAGUGAGAGGGCCACCUUAAUCCACAUGUCAAUGGCAGCUCCACUUGAUCUGUUUACUUUUGGCAGAUACAAUUUUGCUGCACCAUAAAACAUCAGAACUUAGAAGCUUCCACAAGAGGUACUAAUAAGCAUGUCAUGAUCUAAUGCAAGUUUAAGGCUUCGAAUGGUAACAUGCGGAACAACAACUAAAGUGCGGUUUCUAAAAGUAACAAAAACGUAAAUGUAAAGACUUUUUUAAUACUAACUGCGGUGCGGUUUUGUCCGUUAGCAUUUGAAGUCUAAAAGUAGAUAUAUUUUGAGAGGAGAGAACCAUACUUGAUGAAUGUGGCUGAACUGCACGAUAACCCUUUUUACCGAGAGAAAGAAGCAUUGCUGCUUGACCAAAAGCCAUGCCACAGUUGAUAGUGUAUACAUCUGAUUUGCAAUACUUUUAACCCACACAAAAAAAGAAUAGAAAAGUGAAUUGAUUACUGUAUCAUCACAAUGAAUAUAAAUGCACAGAUUCUUUUAGUAAGAUAGACUUACAGAAAUGGUGUCAGCUAUGGCAUAAGCCUCUGUUUCUGACCCAACAGUCUCCAUCUUCUCAUUCUACAUGGCAUUUAGCAAAAUAAAAUAAGCAGAUUGUCCAGAUAAUUCCAUCAAAAGACUUAAUUGAACUGACCUGAGUCCCGGGUGAGUUUAUGUAUAGGUAGAUGGGCUUUGCUGGGUUGUCAUAGUCUAACCACAUAAACUGAGCAACGAGUAACUCAGUAACUGCAGGUACGAUCUGCGAGUGAAUCGAAGCAAGAUCAAUGCCUGAGCAGAGAGGAAACAUAGUAACAGUAAGUUAAUAUCGACACAUGGAGAAGUCUUACUGGCAUGCCAAGGUAGCAUAUGCGAGCAUCCAAAAGCAAAGAAGGCAAAUCCGGAGGAGCAGUUCUUGGUCUUGCAGAUCCUCCGCCGCCGCCUCCACCUCUGUACAUUUGGACACUCAUGCUGUAUCUCCUAGGAUCUGCUGCAUUCAUACCAGACAUACUCCACGUUCCUCCGUUGUCCAAAUAAUUUCUUCUGGACGAGAUGCUUUCCUAUUAACAACAAAGAAGCAUGCCAAAAAAAAGACAAAGACUCAUAUAUUAGAGAAGAAACUUUGUAACUGUAAAAUGGAAUAUGAUAAGAUGGAUUAAAAGAGAAUAUUAACCUCUGUAACUUUCUCCGCUUGCCUGCGGACAGGGCUGUCCUCUGUCAUGAACAUAUCCAUUUGAGCUGGAUUAAGACCGUAGAAAUACUGUGGUACAUUCUUGAAGUUCUGCGUCACUUAAAAAAAAAAGGCAAGGAACAUAGAAUGUCAGAUCAAGUUGAAAGCAAAUAUUGACGAAUUGAAAUCUCAACAAAGAGUUGCAGCAAUCAAACUAAUAUUUUAAGAUUCCAUAUUACACAGACAACAUAACAUAUAAAGGGCAAAAGGCUUUCACUACUUGUUGAAACUGGUGGAGCCAAAGACAUAAUCUUUAGCACUAAGGUAGUUCGUGUAAGCUAAAGAAUCAGAGGAAAAUAGAGAACUUUGUGACCCAAUUCAUCACCAAAGAAAGACAACCUAAACGGAUAAGGUUGAGACCUAAUAACAAAUCUAUACGAAGGAAAAAAAAAAGUAAAAGCACAAAGCUGAGGGAGAAGUAGAAAACCUCCAUCUUUGAGAUUGUCUCCACGAAAUUGUUUGGGGAUGUGGUCAAAGCUCAUAUCUUUAGCAGAAGCGAAGCAGUUCGGUCUUCUUGUGCGUCGAGGAACGCUAGAGCAAGGCAUGUUCGAGGAGAAGAGCUUAGAUCCCGACAUGAAGGGUGAUUUGGGAAGCACGAACUUGGAACAGACAGAUUCAUGGUUGAGCUGUGGAGCAAGAGGAGAGACCAUCAUCGAAGUCGCCAUAUUUGAUCCGAUGAAGAAGAAGAUGAUUGGAAGUUU
rnacentral:lncRNA from 1 species